UACGAGGGGGACGAGUGUUAUUCUUCAUGACUGGGCGUAAAGGGUGCGUAGGCGGUUUUGCAAGUUUAAAUUAAAUAAUCUUGGCGUAACUUAGAAAUUGAUUUUCAUACUACAAAACUAGAGGUCAGGAGAAGUUUGUUGUAUUCUUAGUGUAAAAGUGGAAUUUAAAGAUAUUAAGAGGAUAUCCAUUGGCAAAAGCAACUUACUAGAAUGAUACUGACGCUGAGGCACAAAAGCGUGGGGAUCAAACAGG
rnacentral:rRNA from 1 species